AUCAUUUAAAUACAUUAAAUGAACAAGGAGACAACAAUAAGAAAGAUUCGAAACAUGGAGAAGUGGAACCCCGUUAAAGCUCCUUCCUCUUGGACUUGAAAGGUGCAGUUUUUAGAAAAUACAUGCAUUCCAAUUGACACUGAUGUAUUUAAGGUUACACAUGUGAUGUGUCUGUCUUCUGCUGUAUGACAUUUCAUCAUCAGUGGGAUUAUUUGCCCUCUAUGACUGUCCAAAGAAAUGAGAGAGAAUUACAAGUUCAAGUUGAUCAUACUGAAACAACCAAUCUCUACAGUGGUAUCUUUCCUGAAUUAUAUCCUUGAUUUGCUGUUUUCAUCUUCAACUUGCAACAUUAUGGACUUAAUUUUCAGCAGAUGAGUGAGCAAGAGAAUUCCACUGAAACAACAAAUUUUCUGCUGAUAUUCCUCCUGGAUUCGGUGUGCUUUUCACACCUACAAACUUUCGAACAUUACAGUCUACAGUUAAUUAAGAUCGACGCUGGAGAAGACAAAGAUGACCCCGUAGUUGAA